GAUGAACGCUGGCGGCGUGCCUAAUACAUGCAAGUCGAGCGAACAGAUGAGGAGCUUGCUCCUCUGACGUUAGCGGCGGACGGGUGAGUAACACGUGGAUAACCUACCUAUAAGACUGGGAUAACUUCGGGAAACCGGAGCUAAUACCGGAUAAUAUAUUGAACCGCAUGGUUCAAUAGUGAAAGACGGUUUUGCUGUCACUUAUAGAUGGAUCCGCGCCGCAUUAGCUAGUUGGUAAGGUAACGGCUUACCAAGGCAACGAUGCGUAGCCGACCUGAGAGCGUGAUCGGCCACACUGGAACUGAGACACGGUCCAGACUCCUACGGGAGGCAGCAGUAGGGAAUCUUCCGCAAUGGGCGAAAGCUUGACGGAGCAACGCCGCGUGAGUGAUGAAGGUCUUCGGAUCGUAAAACUCUGUUAUUAGGGAAGAACAAAUGUGUAAGUAACUAUGCACGUCUUGACGGUACCUAAUCAGAAAGCCACGGCUAACUACGUG
rnacentral:rRNA from 1 species